AACCAGUGGACCGGCAUGGAAUGGUUCCACUGGGAACCAGUUUAACAUGUUGGGAAGCACCACACGACUCAUAGGAAACAUUAACAGCUGUUGUUCCCCAGCUGCGUGUAUUGGACAGGUGCGUGUGUUGACCAGGUGCGCGUGUUGGCCAGGUGUGCGUACGUUUCUCAGAUGUGCAUGUAACCUCAUUGGUCAGUGAUGAGCAGUAAAAGGUCUGAUUACCCACAAUCCUCUCCUGCUGCCCUCUGGCUCCCAGCAGCCCCUGCUCUGUGCUCCCAUCAUGCUCUAGUGGUGCAGUGGUGGUCCCAGGAGCUGCUGACAGACAGACAGGAUGUGACAUCACAGCGUGGGUCUGUACAGAGACCCUACAGGCUCAGUGUGAUGAUGAUUGACAUCCAACA